GCAAAACAACUAGCCUGAACACAACAAACAAAUGACCAAUCAUAGAUAACACACCCAAAACACCCUAAAAUAAAACAUUCUUCCACCUAAGUAUAGGCGAUAGAAAAGGACAAACAGAGCAAUAGAAACAGUACCGCAAGGGAAAGUUGAAAAAGAAAUGAAACAACCCAUAUAAGCAGGAAAAAGCAGAGACAAGCCCUCGUACCUUUUGCAUCAUGGUUUAGCAAGUAAAAAUCAAGCAAAGAGAACUUUAGUUUGACUCCCCGAAACUAGACGAGCUACUCCGGGGCAGCCUAGCAGGGCCAACCCGUCUCUGUGGCAAAAGAGUGGGAAGACCCCCGAGUAGAGGUGAUAAACCUACCGAGCCUAGUUAUAGCUGGUUGCUUAAGAAAUGAAUGUUAGUUCAGCCUUAUAUAAUUCUACGAUCAAACACCCAUUGAGCACAAGAAAAAAGUAAGAUAUAAGAGUUAGUCAAAGGGGGUACAGCCCCUUUGAAACAGAACACAACCUUGCACAGGAGGACAAGGAUCAUACCCUAAAAGGACAAAUCAUCUUAGUAGACCUAAAAGCAGCCACCUAUAGAGAAAGCGUUAAAGCUCCGAUGAAGUCAAUCCAACAAUAAGGAUAAUAAACUCCCCACCCCCUAGAAAUAUUAAGCUAUUCUAUGCAUACAUAGAAAAAAUAAUGCUAAAAUCAGUAAUAAGAGGGCUCACAGGCCCUCUCCUCGCACAUGUGUAAGUCGGACCGGACUCACCACCGACAAUUAACGGACUCAAAUGAAAGAAUAAGAACAAACCGUAAAAGACAAGAAAACACUAUUAAACUUAACCGUUAACCCAACACAGGAGUGCACAAGGAAAGACUAAAAGGAGAAGAAGGAACUCGGCAAACACAAACCCCGCCUGUUUACCAAAAACAUCGCCUCUUGCUAACAAAGGAAGUAUUAGAGGUCCCGCCUGCCCUGUGACCGUAAGGUUUAACGGCCGCGGUAUCCUGACCGUGCGAAGGUAGCGUAAUCAUUUGUCUUUUAAAUAGAGACCUGUAUGAAUGGCAUAACGAGGGUUUAACUGUCUCCUUCCCCUAGUCAAUGAAAUUGAUCUGCCCGUGCAGAAGCGGGCAUAAUAACAUAAGACGAGAAGACCCUAUGGAGCUUUAGACAAAAGGCCACACAUGUAAAGACCAAAAAUUAACCAAAAGGAUAUAAUAUCGACGAAACCCAAUGUAAAUUGGUCCAAAUGUCUUCGGUUGGGGCGACCAUGGGGGAAAACAAAGCCCCCACGAGGAAUAGGGAUAGUCCCCUAAGCUAAGAGGAACACUUCUAAGCAACAGAAAAUCUGACCAUUAUGAUCCAGGUUAUUAAACCUGAUCAACGAACCAAGUUACCCUAGGGAUAACAGCGCAAUCCUUUCCCAGAGUCCAUAUCGACGAAAGGGUUUACGACCUCGAUGUUGGAUCAGGACAUCCUAAUGGUGCAGCCGCUAUUAAGGGUUCGUUUGUUCAACGAUUAACAGUCCUACGUGAUCUGAGUUCAGACCGGAGUAAUCCAGGUCGGUUUCUAUCUAUGAAUUUAUUCCUUCCCAGUACGAAAGGACCGGAAUGAAGAGGCCAAUACUUAAAGCAAGCCUCACCCCUACCUACUGAAGAUAAAUAAAAUAGACAAAGAGGUAAAUAUACCAACCGAAAAUAACGGUAU
rnacentral:rRNA from 1 species